rnacentral:hammerhead_ribozyme from 1 species
AUCCAGCUGACGAGUCCCAAAUAGGACAAAACACACGUUCUGGAU